rnacentral:rRNA from 1 species
UACGUAGGGGGCCAGCGUUGCUCGGAAUUACUGGGCGUAAAGGGUCCGUAGGCGGUGUGGUAAGUCGAUAGUGAAAUCUCUGGGCUUAACUCAGAGGCUGCUAACGAAACUGCCAUGCUCGAGUGUGAGAGAGGCGAGUGGAAUUACGGGUGUAGCGGUGAAAUGCGUAGAUAUCCGUAGGAACAUCCGAGGCGAAAGCGGCUCGCUGGAUCACAACUGACGCUGAGGGACGAAAGCUAGGGGAGCAAACAGG